rnacentral:rRNA from 1 species
GAUGAACGCUGGCGGCGUGCCUAAUACAUGCAAGUCGAGCGAACGGACGAGAAGCUUGCUUUUCUGAUGUUAGCGGCGGACGGGUGAGUAACACGUGGAUAACCUACCUAUAAGACUGGGAUAACUUCGGGAAACCGGAGCUAAUACCGGAUAAUAUUUUGAACCGCAUGGUUCAAAAGUGAAAGACGGUCUUGCUGUCACUUAUAGAUGGAUCCGCGCUGCAUUAGCUAGUUGGUAAGGUAACGGCUUACCAAGGCAACGAUGCAUAGCCGACCUGAGAGGGGGAUCGGCCACACUGGAACUGAGACACGGUCCAGACGCCUACGGGAGGCAGCAGUAGGGAAUCUUCCGCAAUGGGCGAAAGCCUGACGGAGCAACGCCGCGUGAGUGAUGAAGGUCUUCGGAGCGUAAAACUCUGUUAUUAGGGAAGAACAUAUGUGUAAGUAACUGUGCACAUCUUGACGGUACCUAAUCAGAAAGCCACGGCUAACUACGUG